UACAGAGGUGGCAAGCGUUGUUCGGAAUUACUGGGCGUAAAGGGCGCGUAGGCGGCCUUCUAAGUCAGACGUGAAAUCCCCCGGCUUAACCUGGGAACUGCGUCUGAUACUGGAGGGCUUGAGUGCGGGAGGGGGAUGUGGAAUUCCAGGUGUAGCGGUGAAAUGCGUAGAUAUCUGGAGGAACACCGGUGGCGAAGGCGGCAUCCUGGACCGACACUGACGCUGAGGCGCGAAAGCUAGGGUAGCAAACGGG
rnacentral:rRNA from 1 species